CAGUAGCCGCGGUAAUACGGGGGGGGCAAGUGUUAUUCGGAAUGACUGGGCGUAAAGGGCACGUAGGCGGUGAAAAGGGUGGAAAGUGAAAGUCGCCAAAACACUGGCGGGGUGCUUUCUUGACCAUUUCACUUGAGUGAGAUAGGGGAGAGUGGAAUUUCGUGUGGAGGGAUCAAAUCCUAAGAUAUACGAAGGAACGCCAACCGCGAAGGCAGCUCUCUGGGUCCCCACUGACGCUGGGGUGCGAAAGCAUGGGGAGCAAACAGGAUCAGAUACCCAGUAGUCCCUGUCUCUUAUACAA
rnacentral:rRNA from 1 species